rnacentral:lncRNA from 1 species
AGAAGAGCAGUCGGGUGCUCUUACCCACUGAGCCAUCUCACCAGCCCCUCAACAUAAUGUUUUGUCCAAAUCAGUAAUACUGGGAAUUCCGGAAACCAGAUUUGGGCCAGAGAGUUUACAGAACCAAACAGAGCUUACCUUUCUGAUCACCUUCAUUUCCAAAGAGCAUGGAGCCUCUCAGUUUGGAAGAGAGACCAGCAGUAAGAGGAGAGCCAGAAAUAUGACAGUAUAGAUGCCUCUAUGAGUUAUUUUGUGGGAAUUAUAAACCCUGUGCACAGAGGUUAAGAGCACCGACUGCUCUUCAGAAGGUCCUGAGUUCAAAUCCCAGCAACCACAUGGUGGCUCACAGCCAUCCCUACCAAUAUCUGACUCCCUCUUCUGGACUGUCUAAAUACAGCUGCAGUGUACUUACAUAUAAUAAAUGAACAAAUCUAAAACAUAAAAAGUGGCUAAUCCACAAUUUGAGUGGAAUAAAAGCAACUGUUGGGGAAAAGUAAAAACAAAGGCUGUGGUUCAUGGAGAAAAACAGCACUAGGGAGUUGGCACGGUAGUCAAGUGCUGACACAGACAGGAGUUUUAAGGAUGGUAUCACCAUUAAAGAGCACGCCAUUGCUCUCCAUUGAAAGCAGAAGAUGGUUCCCAAAUGUAUCCUGCUAAGACUUGGAGUAAUGUAAUGAGUAGACAAAGUGUUUCAAGUUCCAGGGAGCAUCUAUGCAAAAAGUGUUGGAAUUGUGGUCCAAGCACUGCAGGGUCCAUCAUCACAACUUGGAAGCCAAACUUGGCAUGAUCACUUAUCUUGUACUGGUUCUGGAAUUAGGAAAGAUGAAAAAGAUAAUGUCAUGAAUUCUUAGUGUGUGGUUUUAGUUGCUCACUUAUUCCAGCCAUCUGUGUUUGAGAGAAUCAGAGCUGCACUGAGGAGACUGUAAGACUUCCCUGCAUGAAACUGUGAGGUUGAAGCCAGAGUUGCAUUUUGAGACCACAAGAUACUGAUCCAUCUGAGUGAUGAGAUAUCUGCCAUGGACCUCUGUGUGUAGGGAGUGGGAGUAACCAAAGAGGAAGAUUUAUGAGAAGUUGAAGGAGUAGGUCCAUCUAAGUCCUUUGAACCUGAAGCUGCAUGAGUCUGAGACACAGCUACAGGAUUGGGAUGCAUUGACCUUUGAUGAUGUGCAUGUACACUUCACUCGGGAGGAGUGGUCCUUCUGGAUCCAUCUCAGAAGAGACUUUACAAAGAUGUCAUGCUGGAGAACUACAGGAAUCUCACCGCUAUAGGCUACAAUUGGAAAGACCAUAACAUUGAAGAACAUUCUCAAAAUGAUAGAAGAUAUGGAAGGCAUGAAAGAACUCCUGCUGGAGAGAAACCCUAUGAAUAUAUACAAUGGAAUAAAGCCUUCAAAUAUCACAGUCAUCUUCAAAAGCUUGAAAGAAACCAAACUGGAGACAGACACUCUGAAGUCUUUCAACAUAGUAAAGUGCUUGCAUAUCAAAGUACUCUCCAAAGAAAUAAAAGAAGAGAUACUGGAGAGAAACCCUACAAAUGUAAUAAAUGUGAUAAAGCCUUUUUACAGCUCAAGUAUCUUCGAGCACAUGAAAGAACACAUACUGGAGAGAAACCCUAUGAAUGUAAUCAAUGUGGUAAAGCCUUUUUACAUUCCAGCUAUCUUCGAAUGCAUGAAAGAACACAUACUGGAGAGAAACCUUACCAAUGUAAUCAAUGUGGUAAAGCCUUUGUACAAAGGAGUUAUCUUCAAAGCCAUAAAGUAGUACAUACUGGAGUGAGACCCUACAUAUGUAAUCAGUGUAAUAAAGCCUAUCCACGCCGGAGUUGUCUCCGAAAACAUGAAAGAACACAUACUGGAGAAAAACCUUAUAUAUGUAAUCUGUGUAAUAAAGCCUUUUCACAACAGAGUAAUCUCCGAAUACAUGAAAGAACACAUACUGGAGAGAAACCUUAUAUAUGCAAUCUAUGUGAUAAAGCCUAUUCACAACAGAGUUGUUUCCAAAUACAUGAAAAAACACAUACUGGUGAGAAACCCUAUAAAUGUAAUCAGUGUGAUAAAGGUUUUGCACAGCUCAGGUACCUUCGAGCACAUGAAAGAACACAUACUCAAGAGAAAACCUACAAAUGUAAUCAAUGUGAAAAAGCCUUUUUACAUCCCAGCUUUCUUCGAAUGCAUGAAAGAACACAUACUGGAGAGAAACCCUAUGAAUGUAAUCAAUGUGGUAAAGCCUUUUUGCAACCCCAGUAUCUUCGAAAACAUGAAAAAACACAUACUGGAGAGAAACCUUGCAAAGGAGAUCAAUGUGGUAAAGCCCUUACACAAAGCAGUCAUCUUAAAACCCAUAAAGUAAUACAAACUGGUGGGAGACUCUAAAUAUGUAAUCAGUGUGAUGAAGCCUAUUCACACCGGAGUUAUCUUCUAAUACAUGAAAGAACACAUCCUGGAGAGAAACCUUAUAAAUGUAAUCAGUGUAGUAAGUCAUUUAUAUCUCACAGUCAUCAUCAAGCUGAUGAAAGAAUUUAUACUGGAUAGAAACCCUACAAAUGUAAUGAAUGUGAUAAAGCUUUUUCACAGCCCAGGUAUCUUCGAAUACAUGAAAGAACACAUACUGGAGAGAAACCUUACAAAUGUAAUCAGUGUGAUAAAGCCUUUGCACAAGGCAAUAAUUUCAAAGUGCAUACAAGGAUGCAUACUGGAGAGAUCCCUAUGAAUGUAAUCACUGUGGUAAAGCCUUUGCAUAUGACUAAUCUUUUGGGAUGCAUAAAAGAACAGAUACUGGAGAGAAACAUUACCAACAUACUCAAUGUGGUAAAGCCUUUGCAGAAAGCAGUCAUCUUCAAACCCGUAACAUACUACAUACUGGAGAGACUCUGCAAAUGUAAUCAGUGUGAUAAUGCCUCUUCACAACAGAGAGGUCUCCAAAUACAUAAAAGGAAACAUUCUGUAGAGAAACCUUAGAAAUGUAGUCAUUCUGAUGAAGCCUAUUCACAGCACAAUGGUCUUACAUACAAUAACUCAUACUGGAGAGAAACCCUAUGCAUGUAAGGGAUUUGGUAAAGCCUUUACACAUUACAAUAUGCUCCAAUAACAUAAAAAUGACCAUACUGAAGAAACUCUAUGAAUGUAAUCACAGGGUGAAGCAUUUGAACGUCACAGUAGUCUCUGGAAACAAAAAAGGAACCAUCUAGGAAAGAACUCCUAUAAAGUUCUUUAACAUGGUAAGGUCUUUGCACAUAUCUGUAGUCUUCAUCCUCAUGGAAGGAUUCAUACAGUAGAGAAACCAUAUGAACAAAAGAAAUGUGGUAAAGCUUUUGCUCAUCAAAGUUAUCUCUUAUUAUAGAAAAAAGGAGAUAUUAGAGAAAGAUCCUACAAGUAUGAUAGUAGUGAUGAAGCCAUUUAACAACACAGUUAUCUCUGACUACAUUAAAGGAAAGAUAAUGAUGACAAACACUAUGAAUGUAAUAAAUGGGGUAAGCCCAUUAUAUAACAUGGUCAUCUUUGAAUACAGAAAAUGUCAUACUAGGCAGGAACCCUAUGAAUAUAAGCAAUGUAGUAAACACAUGAAACCAUUCAUACUGGAGAGAACAGUAUUGAAGGUAUUAAAUAUGUUGAUGUCUUUGCUUGUUGCCUUGGUCUGUAGAUAAACACACAAAAAUCAUAAUGCAGAAGAGCAACCCUCCAAAUAUAAUUGACGUGAUAAAACAUUUUUAUAAGUUAUCUUUGAAUACAUUAACACAUACUGAAGAGAAAAACCUAUGAAUGUAAGCAAUAGUGUGGCACCUUUUCAUAUUAAGGUAAAAGAAUAUAUGCUCUGGAAAAACCCUCCAAAAGCAGUCUGUGAGAUGAAGCCAUUUUACAUCACAGUCAUCUUCAAAAUCAUGCAAAGAGUUGUUCUGGAGAGAAACCUUAUGAAUGUAUUUUAAAUCGUAAAGCCUUUGGAAAUUUCUAUAGCCUUCAUGAUCAUGAAAGUAUUCAUAGAGGAGUGAAACUGAAUGCAAGCAAUGUGGUAAACCCUUUGCUUACACAUCACAGUUCUCACCAAAUGCAGAAAACAACACAUACUGGAAUUUUUUUAUUACAGUGUAAGUACACUGUAGCUGUCUUCAGGCACACCAAAAGAGGGCAUUAGCUGUCAUUACAGAUGAUUGUUUGCCACCAUUUAGUUGCUGGGAAUUGUAUUCAGGACACCUCUGGAAGAGCAGUCAGUGCUCUUAACCACUCAGCCAUCUCUACAGCCAAAUUUCUCUCUCUAGCUGAAUACUCCCACUAUGAAUCUCUGGCAGGCAUGGAUGUCAGUAGAACAUAAAACAGAUCUGCCCACCAUGCUGUCUGAGUGACUGCAUGACAGAUGGCCAUGUCACAGCUAGGGAACUUGAUUCAUUUAAUUAAUUUAAUAAGUAUGAGAGGCUGAGCUGUGGUAUGAAUAGCCAUGCACAGACUCUGGUCCUAACUGGAGUAACAGAAGGAAGUACCCAUCAAAUGCAUACCUCCUGUUCCUUGUGACUAUGAGCAAUAUAGUUUUCUUUCAUCAUUUGAAUCUCUUUAACUCAGCAAAGGACUGGUGUUAAAGUGUCCUUAUGCUACAGUUACUGAAAACCAGACUCACACAGAUAAGUAGCUUUACAACGGAGUUAAGUGUAACUGCUCAUCUUACUCAUCCAAGCCAGGCAUUGUAACACUGGCCUAUGAUCAUUGUCCUUAGAAAAUGGAGGGAGGAAUCUCAAAGUCAUGCAAGGUGAAAAUGGUUAAUUGGGUGUGGUGAGAGUCCCAUGGAUCCAACUGGAGAUUUUGAUUGCCUCAUAUCAGCCGCUCAGCUAGAUUUCAACUUAACCCAAUUUCUGCUGUUGUUUCUCUCCAUGUGGCACUGAACGCAUAUAUUGGCUAUUCCUGGUUGUCAACUUGACUAUAUCUGGAAUGAACUACAAUCCAGAAUUGGAUGGCUUACCAGUGACCCUAAUCUGGAGGCUUGGUAGAUAAGUUUCUGACCUGGAUCUUGAUAUGGACAUCUUGAUGCAUUGUGGCUAUGGAUUCCAGAAGAUUAAGACAGGGUGAUCUCUGAGUUCAAGGUCAUCUGGGAUUAAAGGUGUGGUGGUACACAUCUUUAAUCUGGGUUACACCUUUUGCUGGAGACUAUAUAAGGACAUUGGAAGAAGGAAGGCUGGCUCUCUCUCCUUUGCCUGCUUCCCGUGUGAGACUGAGCAACUGCUAGAUCCUUGGACUUCCAUUCUACAGCUGCUACUGACCAUUGUUGGGAGUUGGACUGCAGGCUGUAAGUGAUAAAUUCCUUCACGAUAUAGAGACUAUCAAUAAGUUCUGUGACUCUCGAGAGCGCUGACUACACUGCUGUUCAUCCCUGUGCCUUUCAUGUCCAUACUUCCAUCCUGCUACAUCCGUGCCUGUUAGUGCUUCUAUCCAGCUCUAGCCACCAGGUCUUUAUUAUACAAAAAGCCAUGCUCUUCACUCAUCCACUUGGCAGUGGGGUCUUACUUGAUCUUCCCCAGGGUGGCUUGUCUUUCUUUGCGGGGCAGGUGAGGAAAGGACAAAUGAACAAACAUUUGCAUAUCCUGCUAGCCUGGCACAACUAACAUGGCAAUUAACAAUUGAGAAUACAGGGACAUACGGUAAAUGUGUGGUUAUCCCACACUCAAGUAUAAUAGCUGUGCUCAGCCUGGAAGUAGUUGUCCACGUUUCUUCGUUCAGGGUUUAUUUUUAAAUUCUAAGUGAGUUACCAUGGCAUUCUGCAGUUCCACUUACCACAUUCUGAGGUGAGACCUUGGGACUAUGAUGAUGAGCCCAUGAAGGACAGAGAUUCUUUGUUCUUGGCCACCUGGCUUUUGUGAGUGAAUCAGUGCACUUUGGAAAAUAGUGAUAAUGUAAAUUGAGUGAGAAGCCAAAACUUUCAGUGUCUCAUUUUUCCCAGUGAUGAACCUUGGGACCUGGGGUCCUCUGGCCCACACUUUUAUGUUCAAGUCUCCCAGAAUGUCUUACUUGACUCCUGAAGCAAGGAGUAUGAAAGCCUGCCUGGGUUGUGAAAAGAGUUUCUUGAUCAUUUCUUGUGGACAAUUGGUAUGCAUUCAUGCUCUUACCAUAGUAUCAAAGAAAUAGAAGAGAGGGCACAAAUAGCAAGACUUGAAGCUGUUGGAAAGCCAGGCCUCCCCAAAUAUUACAGGGCUUUCAGGGGACCUUACUGAGGUUAAUAAUAAGGACACAGACACACCUGUAUAGUAGGAGGCUGUAGUCCUAUCACAGAAAACACUACCUUGUACCUCAGGAUUUGUCUCUUUUGCAGUAGCUUUCUGCUUCUGCCAAGCCUGGUUUACCCCUCAACACUAUUAACUCUGAUUCUUGGCUAUCUUUGAUAUAUCCAAGAACAUUAACAUUGUUUAAAAAUUCUAAUUUUAUUCUUUAAACACCUACAAAUGUGGAAUCCCAUUGUUUACGUCAUUUGCAUAGUUGGGUGAUUCCAUCCUACCAUCUCUAAUGUCUUCUUUGCAGUGACUGGAAGCCCAUCACAGCAGAAGAGAACAAAGCACUUUAACCUUUAAAGACACAGAAUUCUACCGGUAACCGGUAACAAACCUCAGAACCACAGUUAAUUAGCACAGACAGACCUGACAAGAUUUAUCAUUUGUACUGAUCGGUGCGACUCCCCAAUUAUACCGUUUAAUUUUAAUUACUUUACUUUUUAAAAAUGUUUAAUAAGAGCAUCAACUUUUAAGUUACUUACAUUAAAUGUCUUUAAAUUAUUCUUAACUGAGCACUGUUUUGGCCAAACUUUUUAAUUGCUCACCUUCCUUGCUGACUUGAAGCUUGCAGUCCCAGUUCCUGCCCAAUGGUUUCUUUUACUCAGUGGACCAUUAGUAAAAUGCGUGGGAAAAGUUGGACUGAGAUUGGGCAGAGAGGGAGCACCCUGCAGGAUGUCAUGCUCAGGAGACUCAGAGGGAGCACCCUCAAGGACCUCGUGCUCAGGAGACUCAGAGGGAGCACCCUUCAGGACCUCGUGCUCAAGAGACUCAGAGGGAGCACCCUCCAGGACCUCGUGCUCAGGACACUAAGAGGGAGCACCCUCCAGGACCUCAUGGUCAGGAGACUCAGAGGGAGCACCCUCCAGGAACUCGUGCUCAGGACACUAAGAGGGAGCACCCUCCAGGACCUCAUGGUCAGGAGACUCAAAGGGAGCACCCUUCAGGACCUUGUGCUCAGGAUACUAAGAGGGAGCACCCUCCAGGACCUCGUGCUCAAGAGACUCAGAGGGAGCACCCUCCAGGGCCUCGUGCUCAGGACACUAAGAGGGAGCACCCUCCAGGACCUCGUGAUCAGGAGACUCAGAGGGAGCACCUUCCAGGACCUCAUAAUCAGGAGACUCAGAGGGAGCACCCUCCAGGACUUGGUACUAGAGAGACUCAGAGGAAGCACCCUCCAGGACCUCGUGAUCAGGAGACUCAGAGGGAGCACCCUCCAGGACCUCGUGCUAGAGAGACUCAGAGGGAGCACCCUCCAGGACCUCGUGGUCAGGAGACUCAGAGGGAGCACCCUCCAGGACCUCGUGCUAGAGAGACUCAGAGGGAGCACCCUCCAGGACCUCGUGCUAGAGAGACUCAGAGGGAGCACACUCCAGGACCUCGUGGUCAGGAUACUCAGAGGGAGCACCCUCCAGGACUUCAUGCUCAGGACACUAAGAGGGAGCACCCUCCAGGACCUCGUGCUCAGGAGACUCAGAGGGAGCACCCUCCUGGAUUUUCAUGCUCAAGAGACUCAGAGGGAGCACCCUCCAGGAUUUUCAUGCUCAAGAGACUCAGAGGGAGAACCCUCCAGGACCUGGUGCUCAGGAGACUUAGAGGGCUCACCCUCCACGACCUCGUGCUCAGGAGACUCAGAGAAAGCACCCUCCAUGACCUCAUGCUCAGGAGACUCAGAGGGAGCACUGUCCAAGACCUCGUGCUCAGGAGACUCAGAGGGAACACUCUCCAAGACUUCAUGCUUAAGAGGAAGACGGUGAUUGAACCAUAAAUCAAGGUAGAACUGUGAGUCUGGUACUGUAACAGCCAGACGAUACCUUCCCAUCCACUCAGGAAGCCAGCCUGCUCUGUCAUGUCACCCAAAUGUCUCUAGUGAACAUUUCAAGAAGCCUAAGAAAAAUCUGUCUCAUCUGGCCACGAUUUGAUUGACAAGUCCAGUUUCUCUAUUUUUUUGUCAGUGCUUCCCAACUUAAGAUCAAUCAGAACAGGCCAAUAUGUUCCACAAUCCAUUCACGUAGGAACUCUGCUUAAAGCUACCACCUUCAUCUUCCUGGUGACAAAGGCUUCCAAUCCUGCCCUUCUCUAUUUCCACUGUUCAGUGUUCCCAUUCCCAACCUUCUCUCAACACUUUGCCAUAGCAGACAUAAUGGAGAUUAUGCUGCCUCCCAAGGCAUAGCGAGCUGGGAACAAACAGCCAGCACCUACUCUAUCUUGGGUGAUCUUCAUUUACAUAAUAACUGCAAGAAAAUUGUUGAAUUGAGAAUGAAACUGAGUAAUGAGUUAUCUCCAGGGACUCCAGACUAAUGCUCAUACAGCUAGCUCUGUUUCUGUCCUUAGUCUUUGAAUGAUUGUGAUGGCCUCACUCAUUGUUGAUGGCUCCUACUUAAACUAGUUGUCCUUUGCCUAGUCUCUGUGUUGUUCUUAGUAAAACCUUGGACAAAAACGAUGCCCAACUUCUGGCCCAUUUAUUGACUUAAUUAUUGCUUCAGUGCCUUGCAGUAGAUCUGUGUAUCCAAACAUCCCAAUACAAAGGAGAUUUAGAAGUAUCGGUAACUUUCACAGCAGAGGGAAUUCCCAAGGCCCCAGAUCUUCCACAGAUGUACACUGGAGGAAACGGUUCUGGGCUCUUAGUGUAUUCCUCAAAAAGCCCUGUGGUGUUCUUUGAUUGGUUCCCUUGGCAAGGGAGACAGAUACAGACUAAUGCUCUGUAUACAUGUUUAGAAUGAGUAUUGAUUGAACUUGUGCAAUGCAAGUCUAGAUUUCUUUUUGUUGCAUUUCUUCUUUCUCUCCUAGGGAAAAUUAAUGCAUAAUUGCAUGCUCUGUCAGUUGCUGGCAUCACUAACCACCAGAUGCAAUGUCUCCUUAUGCUCACAGUUCUGGGGACACACUGUGAGUCCUCUACCCCAGGCUGUGCCUUGCUCAUGUGUAGCUGAGACAGGAAAUCACAAGCUGGAGAUGAUGACACUUUCUGUACUGAGUGCUUUUCCCCCUUAUCCUCCUGUUAGCUCAAACGUGUGCAGAGAUGGUAUGGCUAGACUUCUGGCUUGGCUGAUCAGCAGGGAUAAUGCCUUUGAAUAGCCUAAGCAAAAGUAUUAGAAGAUAGAGCUUGUUACAGUUUAAAUAUGCUUGCCCAGGGAGUGGCACUAUUAGAAGAUGUGGCCUUGUUGGAGUAUGUAUGUCCCUCUUGGAGUAGGUGUGUCACCAUGGGUGUGGGUUUUAAGACCCUCGUCCUAGCUACCUGGAAGCCAGUAUUCUGCUAUCAGCCUUCAGAUGAAGAUGUAGAACUCUCUACUCCUCCUGCAUCAUGCCUGCCUGGAUGCUGCCAUGCUUCCGGCCUUGAUGAUAAUGGACUGAACCUCUGAACCUGGAAGCCAGCCCCAAUUAAAUGUUGUCCUUAUAAGAGUUGCCUUGGUCGUGGUGCCUGUCCAUAGCAGUAAAACCCUAAGACAGAGCUGUUGGAAACAUUCAGAGACAGAGUCCUUGGUAAGGGACAGAUGGGUGGAGUUUAUCUUCCCACCUUCCACCAGACAAGGAGCUGACACCCAGAUGACAGCAGAAUUCUGAGUCUCCAUUUCUGAGGUAAGUGAGCUCACAGACCUGUACAUUUUAGCCAAUUGAGGUGUUGCUGG